GACUGCAUGAUCAGAUGAUUUUGGAGUGGAAGAGAAGAAAUGCUGAAGCGGGUUUCGGGAGAGAUGCUGAAACAACUCAUCAGUGACUGGGCAACAUGUGGAGCCUGGCAGCACCACCACUGGCAGGAGCAGGCUGACUUUGUGGUGGGCCUAAUUAGCGUCGCGGUGGUUGCAAGGAGGACGAGUCACCACGCUGAUCCCUCAAAGGCAGCAGCCGAGGCCCCUUUUUCAGUGGGCAGUAUGGAAUUCUCCUACUUGCAGCAUGUAAGGGUGUCAGGCUUUUUCCAAAACCAGCGUGGUAAAUGUAAACAUGCAUAGUAACCCCCCCUGGAUCCCCCUGAGGACGAACCUCUUAGCCGCUGUGCUGGGGCUGCUUUGCCUUUCUUGUUGUUCUACUCAGCCUGGAUAAGGGAGCUAAAAAUUUUGAGGUCAAAAUAAGAAAAUAGAUGGGUAUUUUACCAAAUUUGAUCAGGAAUGCAACGUGAGAUCAUUUUCUUCAUUGAUGGAUCACAGUUUCCCAAAGUUACAUCUUUAAAAUUGUUUCUUUUGCCCAAGCAAAACAGUUCAAACCUAAAAGGUAUUCAAUUUACAUUAAAUAAGACAAUGACAAACAGCAAAGUUUUUCAGAGAAUAUUUUCUUUUUCUUGACUAGUUGAUUAAUCGACUAAUCAUUAUGAUUACUGCCAGCUCUUCACCAUACUGUCCUCUUGCAUGUCAUCACGUUCUUCUUUGGAGCGUCAAUGACCUGAAACUAAUAUGACAACAUGAGAUAUUGUUUUCCAGAUGUAUUUUGAUCACCACUGAAAUCUGUUUUUGCCAUUUCUAAUUGUUUACCCUUGUACACGAUGAUCCCAGAAAGUCAGCUGUAAUGCAGUGUUCAAAUCUCUGUGACCAAGCUGUUUUAAAUAUUCAUUAGCUGUAACAGUCGCCUAAGGUUAUUUGAAUUAGUGCCAUGAAUAUUCAUGCCCUGCAAUGAAUGAGCAUUUGUUUUUAAUGCUCAAUUCGUUAAUACUCCUCUUCAUUAUUUCACUCCAAACCCAGCAUGAUAACCUGCGCAAAACAAAGCUUUACUUUUCAAAAAGCACAAUCUCUCCGGAAGGCUAUUUGUUUCAGUUUAAAUGAAACAGGAGUGCCCUCCCAAUUAUCUUGCUGUCAUUUCUCUUGACAACUACAAGACACAUUGUUCACCCCUGUUGUGGAGCGCAGCACUGAAGGGCAUCUGUCUUGUUUUGAAAUGAAAAGCCACAACACAAAACAUUUCUACUGUUACAAAAAGUGAUUUAUCUGGGAACGUCACUGAGAUGUCAUAUCUAUUCCAGUGAAAGGCAGCAGAGCAAGCAGGUCAUAUGAGAUAUGUCUAAAACCUACACUGGAAAAAAAGAUUGCUGUUUCAAUUUAAAAAAAAAAAAAAGAAAAAAAAAGUAAUCCAGCUGCACUGAGCAUGUGAAGUCAAGUCGAACUGAAAUUUUCAGCAACAUCUUUUUAAAGAUAAAGUUUAUUUUCAGGCAGUUAUCAUUAGAUUGUACGUAGUGGAUGGGACCUGGGAAACGGAAAAGGUGAUCUUCCGCUCACAAACAUACAUGGUGUCCACCUUAGUUCACUGAGGAGAUUUCACUGUGUAUACAACACAUUAUACCACAAACACUUACUUCAUAUUCACCAUUUUGUUUUCGGUGCAUUUCAUAUUUGUCUGAUUAUCACUUGUUUUAAUUGUUUUGCAAUACAUUUGUGUACACUGUUGAUAAGCUUACUCUGACCUUUUUAAUGGCUUGAUAGGGCCUCUAUUGUGCUGUCUAUAACCACAGCUCUCGAUAGAGUUUUUAUGUCGCUGCAUUAAAAUAGUUAUGGCCUUUCCCCCAGUUCUGUCUAUGCCCUAAAUACCAAGCGAUGCAAAAUAAAUUUCUCUUCACCGACUAAAUGAAGUCAAAUUAAGUCAAGCUCACAUAACCUUGUAGCAGUCAGCGACUCUGACAAAGACUGAUCCUGUAAACAAAGUCACACACAUACAUGUAAUAAACACACAUGGAAGCUAACGUAGUUGAGCAUGCUCCACAGUGCAAACACACUGUACUUGUGCACUGGGCAUGAAGGGCUGGGAUGAUGUAGGUUUUAUAUAUACAUAUAUACAUCCUGAUAAUGUUUGCUAUAAUCUAAAACUGAGGUAAAGCCAGUUUCUACCUCUAUUAUUUUCAACAAAACAACUCCAUCAGAAUGUGUCAUGUGUGCUAAAGACCAAACUGCAGACAAACAAAGUCAGCAGCUACAAUAUGCAGACAAAAGUAUUGGGAACAUUACACCAACAGGGACUUGAAU